rnacentral:lncRNA from 1 species
AUUUGUCUUUCAUGGUGUUGUAGUUCAUUUGGAAAGGGCCGUACUCAGACGCUAAUGAGUUGAUGAUGAACUGCACAAGGAAAUUAUGUUCCACUUUCAUUCCCAAAGACUUAAGUCUUGCUGCUAUGUUUGUCAUUUCAAUGACAUGCUCAUGCAUAGUACGUGAACCAUCAAACUUCAUGGUGGUCAAAGUACCCAUUAGUGUCCUAGCAA